AUAACUCUUAAUAUUAAAAAAAUAAUAAUGUGACAGUUCCUUUGAUGACCAAACGACAACCACAGGAGAAAAAAAAAUCAGGCGAAAAUUGUGGCUCACGAUUUUUUAUUAUAAAUAAAGGACAGAAUUCAAAGAUGAAUAAUAAAUUUCCUGGAAAUUUAUCACAAGUUCUUUCUUUCCAAUUCGAGGCGAAAAGAAUUUUUCCUGGAUUUUCUUAGAAAUUUCUCCUUGAUUUUUUUCCUCCGGGUGAAAGGGUUAAUCCCAAUAAAAAAAUGUAUAUUUUUUUUUCACGAAAAUACAGUUCUGUUAAUAGAUUAAUUACUCUAGGGGCGAGUGAAUUCCCCAAUGAAUUGAGGAUAAAUAGUUCGAAUGAGUGAUUUUAUUCGGAGGGGGAUGUCGCUAUGAAUUCAACCGACUCAUUUCUGAAUUAGUUUUUACUACGAUUGUGAUUUUUUCAAGGUUACCGAUUUAUACGUAAAGUAGAGGCACGAGAAAUAGCCAUUGAAGUAAGAGAUAAUGAGAAUGAGCCGACUCGUGUUUAGUCUUAAGGAGAACAUUUCUCAGGUACAUCUGGCUGAUGAUCCUGUGUCAUUAUUAAACGUGAAUAAAUAAUGAUCAGCGGAAUUCCUGACAGAUGCACCUGCGAUAAUAAAUAAAGCUGAAAAUGCAUCAUACAAUUUUUUUCUUGAUUAAUGAUUUUAGGUAGAAGAAGUAAUAAUUAAUAACGAGAGGGACCAAAAUGAUACUCAAUAUUCGUUGAAUUGCUGCAAGUGCCCAUGCUAUUGGUCAAUUGUUGAUUGAAUAAGCUUCUAGCAUAGUCACGUGUUUAGCCUAGUGGUGACUGUAUAUAUUGUCAAUACUGUAAUAUUUGAAAUAACGAGAAAAAUGUUGGAUGAAAAAUUUAUUCGAUAUUAAAACAACAUACGAAGUUACGUUUUAUUUGUCCUUAAUGCCGUGAAUGGGCUUUUUAAACCUUGAUUAUUGCGGCUGGAUGGCACGAUCAUGAGGGGAAAAAAAGGAGAAGAAGUGCAGGAACGUGCGAGAAAAACACCAAGAGAGUCCGGCUUUCACCUCUCGCUGGAGUGGACGAUCAUCAGGUGGUUGGGUGUUGGUUUUUAGUCUCCACCUUCUAUUGCUAAUUUUAUCAGGAUAAAUCAACAGAGAACUGGGUUAACAAUUCAAAAAUCAAGGGAAAGGUAACGCAUUUUGAUAGUGAAUGACCUAUCUUCCGAACUAAUAGUUAAUUGAUCAAAUAAUCGGGAAUACAAAUAUCGAAUGACAUGACCGACUUCAAAAUUAAAUAAAUGGCCUCCAACAAUUAAUGUGAGAACCGGAGAAUUUUUUACUUGGUCAAGUGAGGGUCAUAGGUGUGUGAGAACCGGAACACUGGACGACAGCGAAAGACGUGACCGAGUAGACAAAUUAUGUGUAAAGAUGCUCCACGAGUUCCGGACAAAGAGACCCCUUUGAAAAUAAUAAUGCCCAAAAGAUCCUCUCCCUACAUUUUUACGGAAAGUAAUUAAGCUCCAGCUCUCGUGAAUUCCAUGUUUUUCAUUUCGUUUAAUCCUGGGAAUUUGAAAGUAAUACGAAACCCCCGGAUUAAUCUGCUCAUCACGUGCCAAAGUUGGGAUGAAGGACGGGGAUAAAAAAAAAAUGAAGCAGGGCGGGUAACAGCAUGAGAAUUUACUCCAGCGAUGGUACUGGGCUCUCUUGGCCUCAGUAAGGACAUGACUUUGACCCACAUUCAGGUAUAAACUGUGUCGCUACGUUUACAUGGGAUGCAAUUCACCUACAACGUGCUGCAGACAUGAGAUGAAAAGGGAAUUGUUGAAUUUUUUUUUUUCAUCUGGAAUUUAUUCUGCUCUCGAUUGCAAUUGCUCUUUAAACCAUCAACCGCAUGGAAUGAAGGGAAAUUGCUAGCAUUCUACUCCCAGUUUCACUACUUGCGCUGAUGAUUGUUUUUAGUUUAUGUUUAUUGUCUCCUGUCGCGCGGUUAAAUUCCCUUUAUUUAUUUUACUAUUUUGCCAUCGCAUUUUUCUCCACAAUGAAAGCAAUGGAAUCUUUCCAAUUCAGGUGUUGGAUUUUUUCAGUUGAUUGUCCUAUGAUAAGGGAAAAAAAUGUUCUAAAAUGAAUGAGUUAAAAAGUUCAAAUAUUUAUUAGCAUAAUGAGAAGAAUUCGAAUUCAAUUCAAUACAAUACAUAAUGAAUUAUUCAUGGUGGAAGAAAACGAUGUGCAAAAUAACCAUUCCGAAGUAUAUUACUGAUUUAUUAGCAAAAAUAAGUCGUCCACAGGGAAUACAGCAGCAAUUUCCCACUUGUCUCAUAUUGUAGCGAACCGGUGGAAUGGUUUAUGGAGACUGGAGAUAGCCAUAUCCAUAAAUUAGAAUUAUUAUUGAUUUUUGAAGUUGCCAGGUCGUUAGUACAACUAUUAAUUUUUUUAAUAUUACCGUCUACCUACGCAUGUCAAUUAAUCUUAUUAUUUGACUGAAAAUCAAUUGUGCAGUAGUCAAUCUAAUUAAGUAGCAGAAAUAAUCAAGUUAUUCCGAAGGGGUCAUCUCCUGACAUUCAAUGAAGUUUAUUUCCCUCGCAUAAAAUGCUCAACACGAUUCCCACAAGAAACCGGAAAAAGGUGUUGACCAUUAACUUAAUUAACCACUGGACACCAUAAAAAUUCUCUUAACGAUGAUGAUAUUAAAACAAAACCGGCGGAUCAGGGUUCAUUUCGCGUAGCGGAAGAGGAAUACCCAGGAAGAAAAAUAACUGUUUCUUCAUUAAUUAUUUUUUAACAGGAAUAUGAAUUUUCGAAAAAUUUCAGAAAAUUUGCCUUGAGGAUCGAGAUCAAGGCCUAGAUAUUCCAUGCAAACGCAAUGGAACAAUAAUAUGGACUAGAGGAAGUGUAAAAAAUAACCCGAAGUCCAUCAAUCCCCCAUAAACAGGAUAAAAACACUUUAUUGUCAUUUUUUUUUAUACACAAUGUUAUUUUUCCUUGGAAUAAGCAAAUGAGAACGCAGACGUUAUCUGCGUUAACGAGGACUUGAAAUUAGAGGCAGCUGGCUGAGCGCAACCUUGUAGAUGAUGAGACAGAAGCGAUGCAGCCUCGCGGGUAUGAAUCAUCCAACAAUUGUCCGGUCAAUUCGAAUGUUCACCAGCCAUGGCGAUGAGGACUCAUGCCACUGCCGAAUUAGUCCAGCUGUCGUGUUCUUUAUUUUUUUUCCCCCCAAUCCAGGAACGGACCUCAAGGUGAGAGAGGAGCCUGUCUCGGCGACAUUGGGCUGCACAAGGUAAAGUACAGUGAUAAUGAUGCCACGUAUUUUAUUUUUUUUUAUUCAUUCUCUCCUCACGAAUAUGGAGAGGAGUGGAGGAACCUGUUUGGAACGCAACCGCAGGGACUUGUUGAUGAGUAUCAUUGUAAUAUGAUGAACGCAAAAUCAAUGAUAAUGGGAAUUAUGAGUCAGGAAGUUGGGGGGGAAAAAUGGUGCUAUUGAGUCACCUGUUGCGGAUAGAUGGGCCGGGC